rnacentral:sRNA from 1 species
CUUGAUCAGACAAACCGAAUUCAGAGCACCCUCGGGAAGGCGGCGCCCCUUCAGGCUGCCUCACCGAGGCU